AGAAGGUCGACAAAAUUGAAGACAGUAUCAAUGGAUCAAUGCCAGGGAAAAGCCGCUCGCUGCUUAUUUAUUUAUGAAUGACAAAGAGCUAAUGGAGGAAUACGUAGGAAGCGUGUCAGCAGCUUGCAGAGUCAUCUUUACCAUUAAGAGGCAUAGGGCUAAGUGGAAUGGGAUCAUACCACGGGAAAUCCUCUUUUGAUGCUUUCAGCCAUAAGAAGGCAGUUUUAUGACGUAGUUUUGUUGGUGAUAUAGGUGCAAGGUACCUGCCAUACACAACUAGGAAGCUUCAACUUCUGAGGGCACUGCUAAAUGGCAGUUUUACUUGGCAUUCUUCGAGCUUUAUUUGGUUGGUAAGAUUCGACCUGUACAUGUAAAAUUCGGUCAAACACUUUCAUUAGAAGUAAAAGGUCUAUGUUAUGUAUUUGAUUUUAUGAUAGAAAUAAUGCAUUGUAGCUAAUUGGCUCCACAUCUAUUUGAACAGUAAGGCACCUUGGAGAAGUUCGUUGAUU